AGAAGGGAAUCGGUGUUAGGUAUAGAUCAUGUAGUGACAUACAGUACAAAGGAAAAUACGGGUUGCGGCAUCUGUUUAUAUACAGUGUACACAGCUCUGGGGUAUGUAAACAGUAGACAGUAAAUUUUGAGCAUCAUGCGAUACUGUUCUGUGGUUAACUGUACCACAAAUGGUUCUCAUGUUGAUAUGAGAAUCCAUAUACUGUUCGUGAAGAAUGGAAAUCUUUGAGCUGUUGGAAAAAUAUUCCAACUUUUAUCUGCUCUCGUCAUUUUACUCAAAACUCUUACAGCAAAUCAAAGAAGAAAUUUAAAAAAUACGCUAAACCCACAGUGUUUUUGCCAACACAGAUCCUGGCAGAACAUAACUAUGCAUUCCCUGAUAAUAAAGUGUUAAAGAGAAGGCUUGAUGAUGCAACUGAGCAAGGCGUGAAGUAUCAAAAACAGUUUUAUAAAGCAGAUGAAAGAUGUAAAACCCUGGGGGUCAGGGUUUCUGACUUGCAGAGUACGAUUGCAGAGCUUAAAGAAAAGUUCCAGGUAUCUGCUGAACACAUAUCUUGUCUGCAAAAUCUGCCUUAGAUAUUCCAUCAAGCUUCUUUCAACAAACUGCUGUCAAAGUCAAGGACUCAAAGAUGAGAGCAGAGAAUCCUGAAACCCUGCGUAGUUUUGCACUUAAUCCGCAUUCUUAUUCUGCAUGCGCUUACAGAUAUUUACGAAAAGUGUUUUACAACACUUUACCACACGAAAGCACAUUGAGGAAGUGGUGUGAAAAUUUAGAUGCCUCGCCAGAAUUUACAGAGCAAUUAUAAGUUUAAAAAAUUACAUUAGAACUAAUUAGUUGCAGAGAUACCGGAAUCCAAAAUCCAAGAUGCAAAGAUGAAAGACAAAUUAUUUUGUGCCAGACAGAUAUUAAACCGAAUCUGUCUCAAAACUGUGUCUAAUCUGAAUGACAGAACACCCUGACAUCUUUAAGAAGGCUGAUCAUGGAGAACUACAUAAAUAUUCCUUGCUUAGAGAAACUGCACUACUGUACACAGUCCUACGGCUGAAACAUCUUGCCAAGAAGAA